rnacentral:lncRNA from 1 species
AGAUUCCAGGCCUCGGACGGACAGCCAAUCCAACCCAAGGGGCCGAAACUAUGGCUUCCUGUACAUGCGAACUCUUCUUCCAACAUUAGGAACAGAGCUGUCGUGAAGUAUUUUGAUCUCACGUUACAUGAGAGGUAAACCCCGUGCUUCAAGCGCUAAAUAGGGACGUUGAACCCAAAGGCAGCUCUUGGAAACUUUAAAUGGCAAUUAUUGAUAAGUUUCCCAAAGGCGCUGCUCUUUAUGUCGUCAACAUUGCCCUGCAGUAGGUUGAGAAGUUGAUUACGAUUAUCCUGCAAAGAGUUCUAGACUCGCUCUUUCAUGCUGGUAAUACGCCGAAGCGCUUUCCCCUGGUGCACCAUGUUGAGGACUGGAAAGCUCAAUUUAGGCUAUCCGUCAAACCUGCAAGGUCAGUGUGUUCACUUGAGGAGCUCGAUUCAAGAGCUUCACUGUGACGCGAGCGGCGAGACAAAUUGAUUACAGGAAUACAGAUAUCUCACUACGUUGAAGGCAAACAUCUUGCAUUAGUUUCAAAGACCUCUCAUCCAUAACUGAAAUAAAUAAAUAAAUAAAUAAAUAAAUAAAUAAUAAACUAUUGAUCUAACUCAGAGAGGGAGCUUCGACUAAGGAAUUAAAAUAUUGAUAUGAGCAGGCUAUGAAUUCAUGAAGGCGCAAAUACAAACACAAGAUUAAAUACUCAAAUCAAGCCAUGUCAAGAAGUCCAACAACGGACAACUAAUUCAAACUCCGUCCAACAUUUCUUACUUACAGAAAUCAGCUCUUGCUCGGCGAGAACGCC